rnacentral:rRNA from 1 species
ACGGGAGGCAGCAGUGAGGAAUAUUGGUCAAUGGACGAGAGUCUGAACCAGCCAAGUAGCGUGCAGGAUGACGGCCCUAUGGGUUGUAAACUGCUUUUGUACGGGAAUAAAGUGACCUACGUGUAGGUUUUUGCAUGUACCGUAAGAAUAAGGACCGGCUAAUUCCGUGCCAGCAGCCGCGGUAAUACGGAAGGUCCGGGCGUUAUCCGGAUUUAUUGGGUUUAAAGGGAGCGUAGGCCGUGCUUUAAGCGUGUUGUGAAAUGUAGGCGCCCAACGUCUGCACUGCAGCGCGAACUGGAGCACUUGAGUACGCAGGAAGUAGGCGGAAUUCGUCGUGUAGCGGUGAAAUGCUUAGAUAUGCUGCAGAACUCCGAUUGCGAAGGCAGCUGUCCAGAGAUGAACUGACGCUCAGGCACGAAAGCAUGGGUAUCAAACAGGAUUAGAUACCCUGGUA